UACACACCGCCCGUCAAGCCACCUGAGUCGAGAGCACCCGAAAUCGCUGAUCCAACCCGCAAGGGGGGGAAGGCGCUUAAGGUGAGAUCGGUAAGGAGGGCU
rnacentral:rRNA from 1 species